AUAACACACAAUCAAACUACAAAUUGUUCGCCAAACAACUACGAGUAAUACUUAAAACUUAAAAGACUUGACGGUUCUUCAUCCCGCCUAGAGGAGCCUGUCUAAUAACCGACAAUCCACGAUUAACCCAACCCCUUCUUGCCCCACAGUCUAUAUACCGCCGUCGUCAGCUUACCUUGUAAAAGAAAUAAAGUGAGCUAAACAGUACCACACUAAAACGACAGGUCGAGGUGUAACUUAUGAAGAGGACUAAGAUGGGCUACAUUCUCCAACCAAGAAUACGAACAACACUAUGAAAUUAAUGUUUAAAGGCGGAUUUAGCAGUAAGAUAAGAAUAAAAUACCUAACUGAACAUAACGCAAUGAAGUGCGCACACACCGNCCGUCACCCCUGUCACCAC
rnacentral:rRNA from 1 species